rnacentral:rRNA from 1 species
UACAGAGGGUGCAAGCGUUGUUCGGAAUUAUUGGGCGUAAAGCGCGUGUAGGCGGCAGUGCAAGUCGGGUGUGAAAGCCCUCAGCUCAACUCCGGAACUGCCAUUGAAACUGUUUAGCUGGAGUAUGAGAGAGGUGAGUGGAAUUCCCGGUGUAGCGGUGAAAUGCGUAGAUAUCGGAAGGAACACCUGUGGCGAAAGCGGCUCACUGGACCAUAACUGACGCUGAGGCACGAAAGCUAGGGGAGCAAACAGG